GACGAACGCUGGCGGCGUGCCUAAUACAUGCAAGUAGAACGCACAGUUUAUGCCUUAGCUUGCUACACCAUAAACGAUGAGUUGCGAACGGGGGAGUAACGCUGAGGUAACCUUCCGGGUAACUUGAGGUAACUAUGGGAAACGAUAGCUAAUACCUCAUAAUAUUUAUUGUUGCAUGGUAAGUUAUUGAGGUAUGCUAUUGCAUCACUACCAUAUUGACCUGCGUUGGAUUAGCUAGUAGGUGAGGUAACGGCUCACCUAGGCGACGAUACAUAGCCGACCUGCGAUGGUGAUCGGCCACACUGGGAAGGAGACCCGGCACAGAGGGACACGGGAGGGAGCAGUAGGGCAUCGUAGGCAAUGGAUGAAAGUCUGAGCGAGCAACGCCGAGUGAGGGAAGAAGGUUUUCGGAUCGGAAAGCUCUGUUGUCAGAGAAGAAAGGGCGUGCGCGUGGAACGUUCCCAGUGUGACGGUAUCUUAUCAGAAAGGGCCGGCUAACUACGUG
rnacentral:rRNA from 1 species